AGUACCGUGAGGGAAAGGUGAAAAGCACUUCGAGCAGAAGAGUGAAAUAGUUCCUGAAACCAUGCGCCUACAAGCGGUCGGAGCAUGCUUUGCAUGUGACGGCGUGCCUUUUGCAUAAUGAACCUACGAGUUGCCGUCGCCGGCGAGGAUAAGCCCCACGAGUGGCGCAUCCGCAGUGCAAGCGAGCCUUAAUAGGGCGUUUUGAGUCGGCGGGGGCAGACGCGAAACCAAGUGAUCUACGCAUGUCCAGGGUGAAGUUCCGGUAACACGGAAUGGAGGCCCGCACCAAUAAGCGUUGAAAAGCUUCUGGAUGAGGUGUGCGUAGGAGUGAAAGGCCAAUCAAACUUGGAGAUAGCUCGUACUCCCCGAAAGGCAUUUAGGUGCCGCGUGUGGCGUUCCGCAUGAGAGGUAGAGCGACCGAUAGGUCGAGAGGGCUUCGCCGCCUAUCGAGACCUGACGAACUCCGAAUGCUCAUGCGCCGGAGCCAUGCAGUAAGGGGGCGGGUGCUAAGGUCCGUCCCCGAGAGGAGAAGAAUCCAGACCGCCGUCUAAGGUCCCGGAAUUCUGCCUGAGUUAGUCUAACGAAGUGCGGUCCCGGUGACAGCCAGGAUGUUGGCUUGGAAGCAGCCAUUCAUUCAAAGAGUGCGUAACAGCUCACUGGUCGAGGGUCCGCGCGUGGAUAAUAAUCGGGUAUAAGGCAGAUACCGAAGGCGCGGGAUAGCAGUUUUUUUUCUGCACGUAUCGGUAGGGGAGCAUUCCGUGGGCGCAGAAUGCGGGGGGCGACCCCCGCUGGAGCCCACUGAAAGGCAAAUGUAGGUAUAAGUAACGACAAGGAGGGUGAGAUCCCCUCCCGCCGGAAGUCCAAGGUUUCCCGGGCAAUGCCAGUCAUCCCGGGGUCAGUCGGGUCCUAAGCCUCAGCCGAAUGGCGAUGGCGAUGGCGGAAACGGUCAACAUUCCGUUACUGCCGCACGGAGCGACGCGGCGACGCAGGAGUGAAACGGCCGCGGGGUAACGGUAUACCCCGUUGAAGGGCGUAGCAGCCGAGGGGGGCAGGGAAGUCCGUCCCCCGAUGCGACCCCCAUAGUACGGGGCCUUCCCCGGAAGGCCCCGAUAGUGCCGGUAACCAUACUGCCGAGAAAACCCGCUACGCAGAUCCGUUCGGCACCCGUACCGCAGACCGACACAGGUAGACGGGUAGAACAUACCGAGGCGUUGAGAGACUCAUGGUCAAGGAACUAGGCAAACUGACCCCGUAACUUCGGGACAAGGGGUCCUCAUGGCGACAUGAGGCGCAGAGAAUAGGUCCAGGCAACUGUUUAACAAAAACACAGGGCUGUGCGAACUCGAAAGAUGAUGUAUACAGCCUGACACCUGCCCGGUGCCGGAAGGUUAAGAGGAGGCGUUACCAGCGAUGGGAGGCGCCGAUUUGAAGCCCCGGUAAACGGCGGCCGUAACUAUAACGGUCCUAAGGUAGCGAAAUUCCUUGUCGGGUAAGUUCCGACCUGCACGAAUGGUGUAAUGAUCCGGACGCUGUCUCGACCAUGAUCUCAGUGAAAUUGUAGUAUCGGUGAAGAUGCCGAUUACCCGCGAUGGGACGAAAAGACCCCGUGAACCUUUACUACAGCUUAGCACUGACCCUGGCCAUCCGACGUGUAGGAUAGGCCGGAGGCUUCGAAGCCGGGGCGCCAGCCCCGGCGGAGCCGCCCUUGAAAUACGGCCCUUCGGCUGUCCGGGGUCUAACGCGCUCUGUCGCGGACACUGCUUGGCGGGUAGUUUGACUGGGGUGGUCGCCUCCAAAAGCGUAACGGAGGCUUCCAAAGGUGCCCUCCGGCCGUUCGGUAACCGGCCUUUUAGAGUGCAAUGGCAUAAGGGCGCUUGACUGGGAGGGAGACAUCCCGAGCAGGCAGGAAACUGGGGCAUAGUGAUCCGGUGCACGCGCAUGGAAGCUGCAUCGCUCAAAGGAUAAAAGGUACUCCGGGGAUAACAGGCUGAUCCCCCCCAAGAGCUCAUAUCGACGGGGUGGUUUGGCACCUCGAUGUCGGCUCGUCACAUCCUGGGGCUGGAGAAGGUCCCAAGGGUUGGGCUGUUCGCCCAUUAAAGUGGCACGCGAGCUGGGUUCAGAACGUCGUGAGACAGUUCGGUCUCUAUCUAUCGCGGGCGUUGGAGUUUUGCGUGGUGCCGCCACUAGUACGAGAGGACCGUGGCGGACGGACCUCCGGUCUGCCGGUUGUGCCGCCAGGCGCACCGCCGGGUAUCCGCGUCCGGACGGGAUAAGCGCUGAAUGCAUCUAAGCGCGAAGCCCGCCGCAAGAUGAGAGCUCCUUUUCGAGGGCCGUCCCAGACGAGGACGUCGAUAGGGCGCAGGUGUAAAGGCGGCGACGCCAAAGCCGAGCGCUACUAAUUGCCCGAACCUUU
rnacentral:rRNA from 1 species